rnacentral:rRNA from 1 species
CCUUACCUGGCCUUGACAUACUAAGAACUUUCCAGAGAUGGAUUGGUGCCUUCGGGAACUUAGAUACAGGUGCUGCAUGGCUGUCGUCAGCUCGUGUCGUGAGAUGUUGGGUUAAGUCCCGCAACGGGCGCAACCUUUUCCUUAUUUGCCAGCGGGUAAUGCCGGGAACUUUAAGGAUACUGCCAGUGACAAACUGGAGGAAGGCGGGGACGACGUCAAGUCAUCAUGGCCCUUACGGCCAGGGCUACACACGUGCUACAAUGGUCGGUACAAAGGGUUGCUACCUCGCGAGAGGAUGCUAAUCUCAAAAAGCCGAUCGUAGUCCGGAUCGCAGUCUGCAACUCGACUGCGUGAAGUCGGAAUCGCUAGUAAUCGCGGAUCAGAAUGCCGCGGUGAAUACGUUCCCGGGCCUUGUACACACCGCCCGUCACACCAUGGGAGUUUGUUGCACCAGAAGUAGGUAGUCUAACCGCAAGGAGGACGCUUACCACGGUGUGGCCGAUGACUGGGGUGAAGUCGUAACAAGGUAGGCGUAGAUGA